rnacentral:rRNA from 1 species
GAUGAACGCUGGCGGCGUGCCUAAUACAUGCAAGUCGAGCGAAGCGGGGGCGGGUGAGUAAAACGUCGGGAAACUCCUCUAAGACUGGGAUAAACUAGGGAAACCGGAGCUAAACCGGCUACUUAUAGAUGGAUCGGCGCUGCAUUAGCUAGUUGGUAAGGUAACGGCUUACCAGGGCAACGAUGCAUAGCAGGCCUGAGAGGAUGACCGGACACACUGGAACUGAGACACGGUCCAGACUCCUACGGGAGGCAGCAGUAUGGAAUAUUCCGCAAGUGGCGCAAGCCUGUCGCAGCAACGCCGCGUGAGUGAUGAAGGUCUUCGGAUUGUAAAGCUCUUUCAUUAGGGAAGCGUUACCUAAUCAGAAAGCCCCGGCUAACUCCGUGCCAGCAGCCGCGGUAAUUC